rnacentral:rRNA from 1 species
AUUGAACGCUGGCGGCAUGCUUUACACAUGCAAGUCGAACGGUAACAGGCCGCAAGGUGCUGACGAGUGGCGAACGGGUGAGUAAUGCAUCGGAACGUGCCCAGUCGUAUGGGAUAACUACUCGAAAGAGUAGCUAAUACCGCAUACGAUCUAUGGAUGAAAGCGGGGGACCGUAAGGCCUCGCGCGAUUGGAGCGGCCGAUGUCAGAUUAGGUAGUUGGUGGGGUAAAGGCUCACCAAGCCAACGAUCUGUAGCUGGUCUGAGAGGACGACCAGCCACACUGGGACUGAGACACGGCCCAGACUCCUACGGGAGGCAGCAGUGGGGAAUUUUGGACAAUGGGCGCAAGCCUGAUCCAGCAAUGCCGCGUGCAGGAAGAAGGCCUUCGGGUUGUAAACUGCUUUUGUACGGAACGAAACGGCUCUGGUUAAUACCCGGGGCUAAUGACGGUACCGGAAGAAUAAGCACCGGCUAACUACGUG